UCAAAUAUAUCGAUGUAAGUAUUCAUAUCCUCGAUAGCAGCAUUUCUUCUGCAAUAUAUAUAAAUUACUACUUACAGUCCAUGGGUUGCGCAAACAUCUUCUGAAGUCCUCGAAUGUAAGUGUCAAUCCCAUCGAAAGCAUAAGGAAACCCAAACCAACAGUAAAUAGGUCUGUUUCUAACCAAGUAACCUGCAAGACUCUGAGAUUCAACUAAUUGAUAAUUAUUAAGUUUCAGCAGUUGCAACUGAAAGAACUUACCGCAGCAGGUUUGUAAAUGCCAAUAAUGGUACCUAAUAUAACCUGCACAGAGUGAAUAGAACUGAUAAGUGAAUCUUUCCAUGACAUAACUUCUUCCGAGGACGGCAUAGAGGAAAAAAGGAACAAAAUGAAAUUUUACUGUUGCAACAAAAUUGAAUGAACAUACCCACACUGGAAAGAGAGUUGUCAAUGUUUCAAUUAUUCUCUCAUAUUGGCUCAAUGGGCUUGAUGAUGUAUUGUGCCAAAAAUCCCACACCCACCUAAAAACACAAGCAACAAUUUCUCUCAAAUAUAUCGAUGUAAGUAUUCAUAUCCUCGAUAGCAGCAUUUCUUCUGCAAUAUAUAUAAAUUACUACUUACAGUCCAUGGGUUGCGCAAACAUCUUCUGAAGUCCUCGAAUGUAAGUGUCAAUCCCAUCGAAAGCAUAAGGAAACCCAAACCAACAGUAAAUAGGUCUGUUUCUAACCAAGUAACCUGCAAGACUCUGAGAUUCAACUAAUUGAUAAUUAUUCAAGUUUCAGCAGUUGCAACUGAAAGA
rnacentral:lncRNA from 1 species